rnacentral:rRNA from 1 species
UGAGGAAUAUUGGUCAAUGGACGAGAGUCUGAACCAGCCAAGUAGCGUGCAGGAUGACGGCCCUAUGGGUUGUAAACUGCUUUUGUUUGGGAAUAAUCGACAUUACGUGUAAUGUUUUGCAUGUACCAUUCGAAUAAGGACCGGCUAAUUCCGUGCCAGCAGCCGCGGUAAUACGUAGGUGGCGAGCGUUAUCCGGAUUUACUGGGUGUAAAGGGCGUGCAGGCGGGCUGAUAAGUCAGAUGUGAAAUCCCCGAGCUUAACUCGGGAACUGCAUCUGAUACUGUUGGUCUUGAGUGCUGGAGAGGAUAGUGGAAUUCCUAGUGUAGCGGUAAAAUGCGCAGAUAUUAGGAGGAACACCAGUGGCGAAGGCGGCUAUCUGGACAGUAACUGACGCUGAGGCGCGAAAGCGUGGGUAGCAAACAGG